AUUUUGAGUUCUGCCCUGCUCCGAAGCAGAAGGAGAGUGCAUGAGAUUAUAUAAAGACUCAGAGAAGAGAUACAGCUCCUCCCGCACCAGAGAAAUGCAGCUCCGUGAGCCCCGAUGGAGCCAGCAUGCUGCUGGGUGCUGAGGAGCAGGCAGAGGCACCCAGGAUGGCGGUCCCCAAGGAGAACGGAGGCACAGAACAACGCAUGAGGGGCCACAUGACUUAGGGCCGGGAUCGGUCACUCAGCCAGCAAAAACACUGGAAGAAAACAAAACAACUUCAGACUCUAUGCUGCAUUUCCGUAAUAUAUCUGCCCAAAGACUGGACAACAAAGGUAAAGGAGGCUGAUGAGGAAACGAAAGGAUCCGUGGUUCUUGGCUCGCUGGGUGGCUCAUCAACAAAGCCCCAGCAUCACUCCUGCAGAUGCCCUAGCCUGGCCUGGGCUGGGAUGGGCAAAAUUCACCAUGGGACUCUUGUUCAAGAGAGGGAGAUCAAAGCCAGAAACACUUACCCAGAAUGGCCAUGCAGACUAAAAUUCCAAUUCUAAAAAUACUUUUAAAAUGUAACGUACAACAAAGGAAAGCUGGAAAAAUAUUUAAAAAAGGAUGAAAGGGCAAGAAAAAUUCAACCCACGACCUCAAGGCGAUUAUAAUCUGUGUUCUGCUGCUUCCCAGAGCCGCUUCAGUCUUCAGCUCAGAGUCUACCAGACACUAAAAUGCAACUGAACACUCAGUUCAUACUUGUUCUUCUAAUUAGCUGCCUCUUCCAUUUGAUUAAUAUUGCCUCCUAAUUUAAUUGUAAAUUGUAUUUCUGGUUUAUAUUUCGCUUCUCCCUCCUGUUGUACCUGGUGACCAUCUUCAUUAAUCAUAUUGUAGCUUUUUAAUGAAUCUCAUAUGCCAAUUUAUGGUGAACAAGACUUGAUAUGAAGGCAUCUUCAUCAAAUCAUUCAUAAUCUUGUAACUAUUGGUUUAUUUUCUGUAACGACCUAUAAAUGUACACCAAAAAAAUGAAAGAUUCCCCCUAAAAUGUAAUGGGACAGAACUUUGUUUACGUAGAUUUCUGAGGAUGGGUUGAGACGCCAAAUUCCGCUUGUGUUUGGAAUUUCUAUUUCACUGGGCUUAGUGAGGGUGCCCAUGUUUUGCAAUCCUGUGCUCUAGAAUCUAUCAUAAACAGAUUCUUCUAAUUGUUUGACAUUAAACUGCAAAUUUGUGUUUUUGUGUCUGCUCAAAUAUAAAAUGUCUUUGGGAAAAA
rnacentral:lncRNA from 1 species